rnacentral:lncRNA from 1 species
NNNNNNNNNNNNNNNNNNNNNNNNNNNNNNNNNNNNNNNNNNNNNNNNNNNNNNNNNNNNCGCAUGCACACGCGUGGCCCUGCUGCAAACGCGCAUGCACACGCGUGGCCCUGCUGCAAACACACAUGCACCGUACAUGGCCCAGGUGCAAACACGCGUGCACAUGCGUGGCCCAGUUGCAAACGUGUGUAUGCACGUGGCCCAGGUGCAAACACACAUGCACUGCACAUGGCCCAGGUGCAAACGUGCAUGCACACGUGUGGCCCGGGUGCAAACCUGCGUGCACACACGUAGCCAGGGUGCAAACACACAUGCACACACACAGCCCGGGUGCAAACGUGCGUGCACACGUGCGGCCUGGGUGCAAACACAUGUGCACACACACACAGCCCAGGUGCAAACACACAUGCACACACAUGGCCCGGGUGCAAACGUGCAUGCACACAUGCAGCCCGGGUGCAAACGUGCGUGCACAUGUGCGGCCUGGGUGCAAACGCGCGUGCACACAUGCGACCCAGGUGCAAACACAUGUGCACACACGCAGCCUGGGUGCAAAAACAUAUGCAUGCAUGUGGUCUGGGUGCAAACGUGCAUGCACACACAUGGCCCAGGUGCAAACACACAUGCACGCAGGUGGCCUGGGUUGAAACACACAUGCACGUGCAUGGCCCAGGUGCAAACGUGCGUGCAGGUGGAAGGCCCAGGUGCAAACGCACGCUCGUGCACACACAUGGCCCAUGUGCAAGCGUGUGCACRCAUGCAGGGGGGCCCAGGUGCAAACACACACGCAUGCAUGCAGACUAGGUGCAAACACGCAUGCGUGUGCAUGGCCUGGGUGCAAACACGCAUGCACACGUGCAGCCUGGGUGGAAAGACACGCAUGCACGCAGCCCGGGUGCAAAUACGCAUGCAUGCACAUGGCCCAGGUGCAAACACGCAUGGACACACGUGGCCCAGAUGCAAACACGCAUGCAUACAUAGGGCCCGGGUGCAAACACACACGCAGGUGCAUGACCCGGCUGCAAACACGCAUGCACACGGCCCAGGUGCGGACAAGCAUGCACGCACGCAGCCCAGGUGCAGACACACGUGCAUGCACGCAGCUGGGGUGCAAACACACGUGCACGCACACAGCCCGGGUGCAAACGCGUGUGCACGCGCGUGCUGCAGGUGCAAACGCACGUCCGCGCGCGCAGCACGAGCGCAAACGGGCGCGCAGGUGCACGGCCCAGGCGCAGACGCACGUGCGCGGUUGCACCYGCCGCCGGCACGGGAGCGGCCGGAGAGCCCUGGGAACGCUGCCGGCACGGAGCUUCCCGCGGCGGCGCUGGCGCUCCCGAGACCCCGGCCCGGGAUCGAUGAUCCCGCCGGCAGCUCCCUGCAAAGCGCCGCGCUCCRGCCCCGCGCUCCACUUGCUCUGGCCUUAAUUAGCCCCGGGCUUAAUUAUCCCCGGCCUCAAUUAGCCCGUUGCUGAAGCGG